rnacentral:rRNA from 1 species
UGGGGAAUAUUGCACAAUGGGCGCAAGCCUGAUGCAGCCAUGCCGCGUGUGUGAAGAAGGCCUUCGGGUUGUAAAGCACUUUCAGCGAGGAGGAAGGGUAGUGUGUUAAUAGCACAUUGCAUUGACGUUACUCGCAGAAGAAGCACCGGCUAACUCCGUGCCAGCAGCCGCGGUAAUAAGGAGGGUGCAAGCGUUAAUCGGAAUUACUGGGCGUAAAGCGCACGCAGGCGGUUUGUUAAGUCAGAUGUGAAAUCCCCGCGCUUAACGUGGGAACUGCAUUUGAAACUGGCAAGCUAGAGUCUUGUAGAGGGGGGUAGAAUUCCAGGUGUAGCGGUGAAAUGCGUAGAGAUCUGGAGGAAUACCGGUGGCGAAGGCGGCCCCCUGGACAAAGACUGACGCUCAGGUGCGAAAGCGUGGGGAGCAAACA